rnacentral:tRNA from 1 species
GGACAGUUAGCUCAGCUGGCAGAGCAACGGACUCUUAAUCCGUGGGUCCAGGGUUCGAUCCCCUGACUGUCCAUCA